rnacentral:rRNA from 1 species
UACGUAGGGUGCGAGCGUUGUCCGGAAUUACUGGGCGUAAAGAGCUCGUAGGCGGUUUGUCGCGUUGUCCGUGAAAACUCACAGCUCAACUGUGGGCGUGCGGGCGAUACGGGCAGACUGGAGUACUGCAGGGGAGACUGGAAUUCCUGGUGUAGCGGUGGAAUGCGCAGAUAUCAGGAGGAACACCUCUGGCGAAGGCAGGUCACUGGGCCGCCACUGACGCUGAGGAGCGAAAGCAUGGGGAGCGAACGGG